UUAAGGACACCGAGUCUACCUUUUUUUCCAACAUGAUCGCAGCUCUCCUUAUUCUGGCAUGUUGUCUUUUUUCUGGUCAUGCAGAUAACAAUGGUGUUCUCCAGAUGCCUGAAAGGCUCUGGCAUUCUCCAGGGAAUUCUGUAGAAAUGAAUUGCAGUCACAAUAAGGAUAUCAACCACAGACAGAUGUACUGGUUUAAGCAGGUUCCAGGGGAGGAAAUUACACUCCUUGUAUUUACAACAGUUGGUAGUGAACCAGAUUAUGGUAAAUUCAGUAAAGACAAAUAUGAAGCAGUUAAGGAUGUAGUUGAGAGUGGAUCAUUGACAGUAAAGAACUUGGAUGCUGGAGACAAUGCCCUGUAUUUCUGUGCUGUGAAGAAACACUGUGGUGCAAACACACUACAGCACUGA